rnacentral:rRNA from 1 species
UACGAAGGGGGCUAGCGUUGCUCGGAAUCACUGGGCGUAAAGGGCGCGUAGGCGGCGCGGUCAGUCAGGCGUGAAAGCCCGGGGCUCAACCUCGGAAAUGCGCUUGAUACUGUCGCGCUUGAGGACGGGAGAGGACGGUGGAAUUCCCAGUGUAGAGGUGAAAUUCGUAGAUAUUGGGAAGAACACCAACGGCGAAGGCAGCCGUCUGGACCGUAUCUGACGCUGAGGCGCGAAAGCGUGGGGAGCAAACAGG